UUUCCGUAGGUGAACCUGCGGAAGGAUCAUUGCUGAGUUUUGAAUGAAGUUGUUCUGGUCUUUCGGGGCAAGUGAACGCUUCUCUCAAUCCAUCUUACACCUGUGCCCCUAUCGGGGAAGACUUGGAUCUAAGUUGGGUCACGACGGCGAACUACAGUCUCCUCUUUAUACCAAAUAACAGUUUUAGAAAGUCUUUUUUGCUUGAUGCAAACUUAAAUAAAUACAACUUUCAGCAACGGAUCUCUUGGCUCUC
rnacentral:misc_RNA from 1 species